CCCCGGCUCAACCGGGGAGGGUCAUUGGAAACUGGGGAACUUGAGUGCAGAAGAGGAGAGUGGAAUUCCACGUGUAGCGGUGAAAUGCGUAGAGAUGUGGAGGAACACCAGUGGCGAAGGCGACUCUCUGGUCUGUAACUGACGCUGAGGAGCGAAAGCGUGGGGAGCGAACAGGAUUAGAUACCCUGGUAGUCCACGCCGUAAACGAUGAGUGCUAAGUGUUAGGGGGUUUCCGCCCCUUAGUGCUGCAGCUAACGCAUUAAGCACUCCGCCUGGGGAGUACGGUCGCAAGACUGAAACUCAAAGGAAUUGACGGGGGCCCGCACAAGCGGUGGAGCAUGUGGUUUAAUUCGAAGCAACGCGAAGAACCUUACCAGGUCUUGACAUCCUCUGACAAUCCUAGAGAUAGGACGUCCCCUUCGGGGGCAGAGUGACAGGUGGUGCAUGGUUGUCGUCAGCUCGUGUCGUGAGAUGUUGGGUUAAGUCCCGCAACGAGCGCAACCCUUGAUCUUAGUUGCCAGCAUUCAGUUGGGCACUCUAAGGUGACUGCCGGUGACAAACCGGAGGAAGGUGGGGAUGACGUCAAAUCAUCAUGCCCCUUAUGACCUGGGCUACACACGUGCUACAAUGGACAGAACAAAGGGCAGCGAAACCGCGAGGU
rnacentral:rRNA from 1 species